rnacentral:rRNA from 1 species
UACAGAGGGGGCAAGCGUUGUCCGGACUUACUGGGUGUAAAGCGCAUGCAGGUGGCUGUGCAAGUAUGCUGUGAAAGCCCCGUGCUUAACACGGGGAGGCCAGUAUAGACUGCACGGCUCGAGGACUGCAGAGGGUAGGGGAAUUGCUGGUGUAGUGGUGAAAUGCGUAGAUAUGUGGAGGAACACCAGUGGCGAAGGCGACUCUUUGGCCUGAAACUGACACUGAGGCGCGAAAGCGUGGGGAGCAAACAGG